UGGGGAAUAUUGCACAAUGGGCGAAAGCCUGAUGCAGCGACGCCGCGUGAGCGAAGAAGUAUUUCGGUAUGUAAAGCUCUAUCAGCAGGGAAGAUAAUGACGGUACCUGACUAAGAAGCCACGGCUAACUACGUGCCAGCAGCCGCGGUAAUACGUAGGUGGCAAGCGUUGUCCGGAUUUACUGGGUGUAAAGGGCGUGUAGCCGGGUCUGCAAGUCAGAUGUGAAAUCCAUGGGCUUAACCCAUGAACUGCAUUUGAAACUGUGGAUCUUGAGUGCUGGAGGGCAAUCGGAAUUCCUAGUGUAGCGGUGAAAUGCGUAGAUAUUAGGAGGAACACCAGUGGCGAAGGCGGAUUGCUGGACAGUAACUGACGGUGAGGCGCGAAAGUGUGGGGAGCAAACAGGAUUAGAUACCCUGGUAGU
rnacentral:rRNA from 1 species